rnacentral:lncRNA from 1 species
AUGGCCACUCACUACUUUUUCUUUCUUUCUCUCUCUCUUUUUAGAUAAGAAAAUACACAGUGGGCCAAUUCCAGAGCACAGCAAAAGCUUUUGGAGGGACUGCUUUGCCAGUUGGUUUGUUCUACAUUAUUAAAACAGUGAGGAAAGGCAGCCUGCUGGUUAGUUUGGAGAGACCUGAUGCUGAAUUAGGACAUARCAAUGUAACUUUCAUUACAGGAUAAAGGUUWUACACAGACAAGGAAUUGCAUGUCUGCUGCGAGUUCAGCAAGUACUGAGACCAUCUUAGAAAAUCCUGAUCUCUCUGUACCAUUUCAAAUCAGUGUUUCUGGCUUGCAUUCUCAGAAGAUGUGUGUUCAAUUCAGUUGUUGGAAAGAAGUGCCAUUGCUUGCAACUCACUUUUGCUCUGACGACCUGUUGCCAGCUCCUGUAAGGCAGUAG